CAGUAUUUUUCCACAGAACACUUCGUAUAUUAAAUGGUCAACUCGUGCUUGGCCAAUUUUCGUCACGAUACAGACGUAACUCUUAUCUGUACUAAUUUAAUAAUGCUAAAGAUUUAGUUCGUUUGUUCAGCAGCUAAUCUCAGUACGUACGCGACCGAUUUGACUAAUUCUUUCAAGGCGAUGUUUAAGGCAUUUGCAUGUGUUACGGUUAUAUACUAAUUUCUGUAUUAUUUUAUGAUAUAUUUAUUAUACGAGAGUAAAUCGUACUUGCAUGUAAAAUGUUUCAUACAAACUAACUUUGAAAAUCAGACUUUAAAGUAAAAAAAAAAACUUUUUCUUCUAGAGCGUCUAACAUUAGCACUCUCUCUUAGUUAUUCUUUUUUUAUUUAGUCUCUUUUAUGCCAGUUUGUAUUGUGAAACAUUAGAUUAUCAAAAAUUAUGAUAAAGAUAUGCUACCGUAAGUUGAAGAAAAAUGUAGUUGUAUGUUACUAAAAAUAAUUUAAAACAUAAAACAAUAUACAUAAACCGUUUUAUUUCAAUUGAAUAAUGUUUCCAACAUUUAAAAAAAAAAUUAAACAAUGUUCAUCGUUCUAGCCCAAAACCUGAUAACAAUAUUACGCAAAAGUUUUCGUAAACGCUCUGGACCCUCCAACUAAUUUUGAAAUGCUUUAAAAACUUCCGCUGCGGGAAAUUUAUUCAGAAUCUAGUUAAAAAUAAAUAACAGCCUCGUCACUUCGAAAUUUUUCCAUUUACUAUGAAUAUUUUUUUUACCAUCAACAACUAAAUUGUAACACAGACUAAACAAAGAUGUUCUAAAUUCAACAUAUUAUAGAAAAAUUGGGUCACACAAUUAUUUUCAAGUCGGACGUCAGUCAGGUUCGCUCGUAUUAAUAUGAAAAAGAAUUUAUAAAUUUCCAAAAAAAAAAUGAAUAAUACCAAUGAAAUUUUGAUGUACUAUUCAAGAAAGACCUUUCGUACCUCAUGUACCCUUCUAAAAACCUGAAUACUAUAUAAAGCUAAGUUUAUCCUAAGGACACUUCCGAGAGAAUAAAUAAAAUUUAAUAUAGCUUUAACUAAUUCUUAACGUAUCUUUUAUUUAAUCAAGAUUUUCCAGACUAAAUAGAAAUGCUCGCGUACGUUUAAAACAACUCAUUUACAUCGAUUAAGUAAGACAAAUCUGAAAUAUUGGUAGUGAUUAAAAAAGAAAAGUCAUAGUUUAAUCCUGCACAUUGAUUUGUAGAAAAAUUACAUAUUUAUUUAAAUACUUUAUUGUUAAGGUGUGUAAAGGUAGAUUUAUUGGUGACAUUCCCUCCCACUUAAUCUCUAGAUAAAACACAAAAAGUACAUAUUUAUCAGGCAAAAAAAAGAUGAACAUGUUUCAGAAUUUCUGAUUUCAAAAAUCUUAAAACGUUCUUUCGUACGUCUUCGUUCUUCAAUAAUACUUUUAUCCUGUCUGUGCAUUAUAAAAGACAUAUAAAACAUAAUAUUUAAAACAAUUCUUAAUAGUCCCGUCAUCAACUUAAACUGUAUCUAAUAUUUUAAUUAAAUUUUGCCAUUAAAUUUAAUUAUGCGGACACCAUACAAUGACUGGUCGUUAGUUUACACUUCAGUAAUUUAUUACGUUUAUUAUAGCUACAAAUACUUCGGUAUACAAAAGAGAGAAUUAAUUAUUUUGUGUGUGUGAGAGUCUCGGUCAAUUUCGAUAUGUCACUAAGAGUUUCGUAAUAGUAACUGACAGUUAGUAAC
rnacentral:misc_RNA from 1 species